rnacentral:lncRNA from 1 species
GCACCUGUAGUCCCAGCUACUCGGGAGGCUGAGGCAGGAGAAUCAUUUGAACCCAGGAGGCGGAGGUUACAGUGAGCCGAGAUCGUGCCAUUGCACUCCAGACUGGGGGACAAGAGCAAGACUUCGUCUCAAAAAAAAAAAAAAAAAAGGACUCAGUGGCAUAAAGCCAUGGCAGGAUUCUAAGGACUGACAUGGUCUCUGCAUUGUAGCGGGUGCACUCUGCUGGUCUGUUGAGAAUUAACUCUUUGAGACCAGAGUAGGGUCAGAGAGCCCUUGGAGGGUGGAGGGCUACAGAGAUAACCCAGAGAUGAGGGUGGCUUGGACCACAGUGGCAGCAGUGCAGAGAGGGAAAAGGAGUUUGGGUUUUGAAGGUAUUCCAAAGGUAGAAUUGGAUGGGUGCCAGUUCCAGAUCACCAUCCGUAGGCUCGCUGUCCUGGAAACCUUUCUUCCUCUUCAUGAAGGCACCUUCCCUUCACUUUUGCUUCAAGUUUCCAUUCCACAGAGGGACAGAAACUCAAUCUCAGUCCAUCCAGGAUCCCAUCCUUCAGUUCUGGGGGUUGUGGCAGCCAAGUCAUGGGUGGUGUGGGUGGGGAAUCUGGUCCCCUGUCACCUUGUCCAUCUCCACUGGCAUCUGCAGAGGCCAUCUCACUCCAGGAUGGUCCACAUGGGGCACAGCGUGUCCCACUCCACAUCUAGCUUCCCUUCAGCUGCCUCCACACCCUGCUGCCUUGUAACUGCCAGGUGGUCUCAGGCCUCCUUCCCAAGCAGCCCCCAGCAGCUUUCUUGCUGUUCUCACUGAGCUGGACACCUCUCAGGAGCAAGAAGGAGCUAUGCCCUUUGCUCCCAGAACCCCAAACCACCCUCAGUGUCUCUAUCAUCUUUGUCCAGUCCAGGGCAGCAGUCCCUGUUCAAGCACCUCACCUUCCUGCCUGUCCUCUGAUUUCUCCCAUCCCUGACCCCACCCUGGUCUGUGGAAUAUUCCCAGAGAAACUCUGGCUCUGAUGUGUGCACUUCCCUCCACACCAUCCCCGGCUCAGCUCUCAGCUCCGAGGCUGCCCCACAAGGUUAUGCAGGUGUUUAGUGAGCCAGUGGGGGUGAAAUUGGCACAUUGCUUGUCCAGGCUUGGGCCUGCAUACAAAGAGGUGGAGAGGCGCCUUUUCCUCAUUUCCACAAAGGCAUCUCUGAGCCACCAUGGGCCUUGUGUGCUCACAAGCCUCUGGAAGGUCAAAAGCAAGGAGUUGGCUCUUGCUCUUCUGUGUCCUGUUGUAAUAGUCCCCACUAAGAGCAAUGGCAAGCUCCGGCCUAGCUGCCUGAAUGAGGGGAGGUUUAGAGGGGAAAUUACACUGGUUCAUAAAGAAAAUAGUAACCCCUUGCUUUGCUGGGAAGUCCCUCUGAAAGGGAAGGAAUGAUGGACCUUACCCCAGCACCCAUGACCUGGGCCCCAAGAAGCUCACCAGUGACAAUUUUGACUUUCUUUGUUAAAUAGACAUUACUACAUAAUUUUUUUUUUUUUUUUUUUUUUUUUUUUUUUGAGACGGAGUCUCGCUCUGUCACCCAGGCUGGAGUGCAGUGGUGCGAUCUCGGCUCACUGCAAGCUCCGCCUCCCGGGUUCACGCCAUUCUCCUGCCUCAGCCUCCCGAGUAGCUGAGAUUACAGGUGCGUGCCACCACACCUGGCUAAUUUUUGUAUUUUUAUUAGAGACGGGGUUUUGCCGUGUUGGCCAGGCUGGUCUCGAACUCCUGACCUCAGGUGAUCCACCCGCCUCGGCCUUCCAAAGUGCUGGGAUUACAGGCGUGAGCCACCACGCCCGGCCUAUAGUCAUGAUUUUAUUUAUUUAUUUAUUUUGAGACACAGUCUCCCUCUGUUGCCCAGGCUGGAGUGCAGUGGUGUGACCUCAGCUCAUCGCAGUGCCCCCUGGGUUCAAGCGAUUCUUGUGCCUCAGCCUCCCAAGUAGCUGGGAUUACAGGCAUGCACCACCACACUCAGCUAAUUUUUGUGUUUUUAGUAGAGAUGGGGUUUCGCUAUGUUGGCUAGACUGGUCUUGAACUCCUGUCAUCAAGUGAUCCGCCUGCCUAUAAUUUUUUUUAAGUGAUGGGGUCCUGUUCUCUCACCCAGGCUUGAGUACAGUGGCAUGAAUAUGGCUCACUGCAUCCUUGACCUCCUGGGCUCAAGCGAUCCUCCUGCCUUGGCCCAGGAGUUGCUCGCAUGAGCCACCACGCCCAGUGUAUUCAGAUUUUCUUCGUGUUUCUUUUCUCUUCCGGGAUCCCAUGCAGGACACCACGUCGCAUUUAGUUGUCCACCACGGUUUUUUUGUUUGUUUGUUUUUUUCCGAGACGGAGUCUCGCUCUGUCACCCAGGCUGGAGUGCAGUGGUGUGAUCUCAGCUCACUGCAGCCUCCGCCUACCGGGUUCACGCCAUUCUCCUGCCUCAGCCUCCCGAGUAGCUGGGACUACAGGCGCCUGCCCCCACGCCCGGCUAAUUUUUUGUAUUUUUAGUAGAGACGGGGUUUCACCGCGUUAGCCAGGAUGGUCCCGAUCUCCUGACAUUGUGAUCCACCCGCCUCGGCCUCCCAAAGUGCUGGGAUUACGGGCAUGAGCCACCGCGCCUGGCCCACCACAGUUUUAAUUCUGAAGAUGCAGUAUUAAGAGAGGAGGCUAAAGAAGCACACACUUGCUUAAUUUUUCCUUCGUUAUAUGCUGGGGAUGGCAGCAGCAGCUUGUGGCUGAGUUUCGGUGUUCUGCCUGACGGGUGACAGCUGAGCAGGCACUAGGUCCUUGCAAAACGCAGGAUGCUGGGGAGGGUCUUCACCUUGCAUGGUGUCCUGUCCCACACUGCUCCUCAGGUUGGGAGUGGUGGGGAGUUACUGUUUAAUGUGUACAGAAUUUCUCUUUGGGAUGACAAAAAUGUCUGGAAAUGGAUGGUGGUGAUGGUCGUAGAGCUUUACAGAUUUACUUAAUGCCACUGAAUUAUACACUUCAAAUGAUUAAAAUGGUAAAUUUUAUUUAUCUUUUGCCACAAUUUUUUUUAAAACCUCAGUAAAUAAAAUGCAACUUAAGGCUUCUGCUUUUUGCUUUUCAGUAAAGGAAACUAUUUUUUUUUUUAAGUCUGUCCCUUUUAAGCCUUUUACAUUCCUCAAGUAAGGCUUACCCCCAGAAUGGGGGUCAGGGAUCGGUGCCGAUGGGGCUAGAGCACCACCAUCAUUGCUACUGCUAAUGACAAUGGUGAUAGCAACAACAGCCGUGAUUGACUGCUCACUGUGCUAGCAGCUGUACCACAUGGUCCCAUCUGUUCUUCACACAGCCCCAGGGGCAGGUACGCUCAUGGGAACAUAGCACAGGGUAGUUAACGGACUCAUCCAAGGUCAUGCAGCUGGGAGUGGCAGCACCAGGAUCCCUCCAGAACCAGAGCUCUUUCUCACCACCCACGUCAGUGCCAGCAAAGCCUCCCAAACUCCUCCAAAGCCACCUCGAUAACAGGAGAGAGGUGUCCUUCACCAAGCCCGAGAGGGAGACUGCCAGGUGCCUGUGGAAUAAGCCCUCUGGUCCAGAUGAGGACUAGCAAGAGGAAGGGCUGUUUGCCUUCUUUAAAAAGAUUACAAUAAUGACCGGUGUUUAUUAAACACAUACUAUGUUCUACAAUAGCGUUCUCCAGGCUGACGUCACCUAUAGAUCUCUAGCCCCACAGAUGCUCCACUGAAAAAUAGUUUCAUAGCUGGGCACAGUUGUGUGCACCUGCAGUCCCAGUUACUUGGGAGGCUGAGGUGGGAGGAUCACCUGAGCCUGAGAAGUCAAGGCUGCAGUGAGCUGUGAUCACACCACUGCACUCCAGCCUGGGUGGCAAGAGUGAGACCCUGCCUCGUAAAUAAAUAAAUAAAUAAAUAAAUAAAUAAGAAAAAUAGUCUCACAGCCAAGUAAGUUUGGGAAGGGCCUCCUAGAGGAUUUGAAAGGAGCUGCAGUGAUGACACCCCUUCAGCUUUGUCUAACUCAGUGAUUCCCAAAUCUCUUUGGCCCCAGCAGCCCAUUUUCAUUGCAA